GUCUAUGGCCAUACCACCCUCAACGCACCCAAUCUCAUCUGAUCUUGGAAGCUAAGCAGGGUUGGGCUUGGUUAGUACUUGGAUGGGAGAAUGUCAAGAAAUGCAGCUAAUUUGGUUU
ensembl:rRNA 5S_rRNA 5S ribosomal RNA